rnacentral:rRNA from 1 species
CGCUCCCACUGCAUACUGUCAUGCUAGUCGAGCGGUAGAGAGAAGCUUGCUUCUCUUGAGAGCGGCGGACGGGUGAGUAAUGCCUAGGAAUCUGCCUGGUAGUGGGGGAUAACGUUCGGAAACGGACGCUAAUACCGCAUACGUCCUACGGGAGAAAGCAGGGGACCUUCGGGCCUUGCGCUAUCAGAUGAGCCUAGGUCGGAUUAGCUAGUUGGUGAGGUAAUGGCUCACCAAGGCGACGAUCCGUAACUGGUCUGAGAGGACUGAUCAGUCACAACUGGAACUGAAAUCCCGGUCCACACUCCUACGGGAGGCAGCAGUGGCGGAAUAUUGGACAAUCGGGCGAAAGCCUGAUCCACCCCUGCCGCGUGUGUGAAAAAGGUCUUAGAAUACUAAAGCAUCUUUAAGGUCGGGAGGAAGGGCAGUUACUUAAUACGUGAUUGUUUUUGAUCGUUUCCCACACAAUAAGCACCGGCUAACUCUGUGCCAACAGCCCCGGUAAUACAGAGGGUGCAAGCGUUAAUCGGAAUUACUGCGAGGUAAAACCCGCGUACGUGGGUUUUUAAGUUCCAUGUGAAAUUCCCCGGGGGCUUCACCUGGGAACUGCAUUUUCAACCGAGGGGGAAAAAUAUUGGGGUAGAGGGUGGUGGCAAAUUUUUCUGUAGGGCUGAAAAGCGUUUAUAUAAUAAUGAAAACCCGUGGCGAAAGGGGGAACACCUGGACUGAUUCUCCCCCCCCGGUUCGAAAAACUGGGGGGGGGCCACGAGGGGGGGGGUACCCUGGUAGUCCACGGGGUGUUAAAAGAUGUCUACUAACCCUUUUGGGGCGCUUAGGGGGUCUUAGUGCGCGCAGCUCCACCCAAUAAAUUUACCCCCCCUGUGUGAAAAGGCCCCCCCCCGGUGGACACCCCAUGGAAUGAAUUUAGGGGGGGCCCGCACAAGCGGUGGAGCAUGUGGUUUAAUUCGAAGCAACGCGAAGAACCUUACCAGGCCUUGACAUCCAAUGAACUUUCUAGAGAUAGAUUGGUGCCUUCGGGAACAUUGAGACAGGUGCUGCAUGGCUGUCGUCAGCUCGUGUCGUGAGAUGUUGGGUUAAGUCCCGUAACGAGCGCAAGCCUUGCACAUCGUCUGCCCUGUAUGUGGUUAGGUUGGGGUUAAUACCAAGACCAACCCCUCCCUCCCUUUCCUCUCAGCUGCUGGUUGGGUGGUUCUGCGCUGCAACCUUACCAGGGAACUAUACUCGCCUGGGCUACAUCGAAGAAGCAAGAGAUGGUCGGUACAGAGGGUUGCCAAGCCGCGAGGUGGAGCUAAUCCCAGAAAACCGAUCGUAGUCCGGAUCGCAGUCUGCAACUCGACUGCGUGAAGUCGGAAUCGCUAGUAAUCGCGAAUCAGAAUGUCGCGGUGAAUACGUUCCCGGGCCUUGUACACACCGCCCGUCACACCAUGGGAGUGGGUUGCACCAGAAGUAGCUAGUCUAACCUUCGGGGGGACGGUUAUAGACGGUUGAUGCAGCCCUCG